rnacentral:rRNA from 1 species
CCUACGGGAGGCAGCAGUGAGGAAUAUUGGUCAAUGGACGAGAGUCUGAACCAGCCAAGUAGCGUGAAGGAUGACUGCCCUAUGGGUUGUAAACUUCUUUUAUAAAGGAAUAAAACGAGGCACGUGUGCCUUUUUGCAUGUACUUUAUGAAUAAGGAUCGGCUAACUCCGUGCCAGCAGCCGCGGUAAUACGGAGGAUCCGAGCGUUAUCCGGAUUUAUUGGGUUUAAAGGGAGCGUAGAUGGGUUGUUAAGUCAGCUGUGAAAGUUUGCGGCUCAACCGUAAAAUUGCAGUUGAUACUGGCAGGCUGGAGUACAGGUGAGGUAAGCGGAAUUCGUGGUGUAGCGGUGAAAUGCUUAGAUAUCACGAAGAACCCCGAUUGCGAAGGCAGCUUACUAAACUGUGACUGACAUUGAUGCUCGAAAGUGUGGGUAUCAAACAGGAUUAGAUACCCGAGUAGUC